UUCUGGGAGAACACUUGGGCAUUGAUAUUCCCUCAUUAGCAUCACUUCACACAUCAGGAACGUACCACAGGACGGGACAUAUCUAAAUCUUGGAAAGCUGGGUCCAUUCUAAAAGCUCUUUAUCCCAAAGCCAGGGGUAAUGUAUAAUCUAUUCCAUUUGCAGUAAUUAUAAAUCGCUCCA